ncrna:unclassified sequences L31-Firmicutes ribosomal protein leader
CUUUGGAUUCGCCUGUAAUCCAAGGCGGAAGGAG